rnacentral:misc_RNA from 1 species
CCGUGCCAUCCUGUUUCCCUUUCGGUUGACUGCUCCUUUCUCUCUGCUCGCCCGCCGCGUAAUUUCUCCCGCUUAUUUGCUCAUGAUGAGGGACAGAUGUCGAAGACAAUUUCUGACACGCUCCACGCGGGGCAGAUUGCCACGACACUGACUGGUGCGCAUAGCCUCUUGUUCGCGUGCCGGCAGACUGACAGGCUGACGUACAGCAGAAGCGACGCUUAUCGGCAACUUCUGCCGGACCGCUUUACCGAUCGUCCGUGUGAGGGGCGGCGGCAGCCUUUCCACGAAAAUAAGACCAAUAGGUUUAACUGGCUUGCUUCUCCGGUACUGAACGCCAUGACACAAGGGACCGCAUGCGCUGCUACUAUGACGAAGCUCAAUGGCGAAGGGCUCACACCGUGAAUUGUCCGACGUAUGGGAGAGGAAGAGCUAGUAAAAACAGCACAUUUGCAGCAUCAGCUUUGGCAUUUGAAAGGCGGAACACAUUGCUCAAGUUGCAGGAAUUCUUUUUCGAGAGUAUGACGGCAAGGAGCUGCGCGGUAACGACCUGGUUGCUGGACACCUCAGCAUGGAUGCCAGGACGGGUAAUGUGUUCUAUGCUGUCGCCGACCACCGGGUCGUUGGGAUCAGUGUGAGUAUACGUGUGCACAGCGUUUUGCAGCGCCUGGACUACUGGCCAAAUAAAGCCAAGUCGUUGGAGGGCACGCGUAAUGCACUCGAGCUCUUCCACGCGAGCGCUGGCGGAAGUCAAUCGCAGCCCGUUCCCUCUGUGAAAAUAGGUCUACACCUCGAGGAGCUUCAAGUGCGGCAUGUGCUUGGUCGACGACGUGUGCGUCUUUGCGCUACCUGUCCGCAAAAGGUGAUAUGGAAGCACAGCUGUGUACAAGGCUGGCCACAGUCUCUUUUCUCUCUCUGGCUGCUACACGAAUCUGCUGAGGUCGAUGCCCGGUCUUUCAGAGUGCAGCCGUUUGCUCUCACUCAGUCCCAUGUGUUCCUCGUCGAUAAAACUACCUUUUUUUUGUCGCGCCCUUUGUUUUUCUCGUACUGAUGUUGUACUACUUUGCAUAUUCAUCCGCUGGAAAGGG